rnacentral:lncRNA from 10 species
AACUCCUCUGCGGCGCCCGCGCUCUGGGCUCCUGCGGUCCCGGCGACGGCCUGGGCCCGGCUCUUAAAGGGGCCGCGGCGCUCCCGGGCCCCGCCGCACGCUGGGCGACGACGUGCCCCGGCCCUGCGGGCCAGUAACUGGAGCCCGGGAGCCUCGUCUCGUCACCUGGGUCUCUCCCUGGCUCUCUCCCUCUCGCACGCAUGCACACGGAGCUCUGGGGAGUUGUAAGGGGACCUGAGGGCUACACGCUCGAGGAUUGAAACCGGAUCUCAGAAAGAACACCCGAGGGAAGAGCGAGGAGACUGCAGAGCUGCGCCCUUCACAGGAGGGGACUGCAGCAAGAUGCAAAAGGAGCCCAGGAGCAGGUGCUUCUAGUCACGCCCACCAAAAACACCCAAGGGGCGAGGCUGCCGGGUGCGGAGAUGCAGGAGUGCCCCGAGGGCCUGUUAGGAACUCGCCUUAAGCACAGCCCGUGCCGCUGCCAUCAGGAGCCCUGGGAUAGCAGAGCUGAAGCGAACCUUGGAGAGAACGCGCCAGUGGAAACUUUUCCUUUUACAGACCCUCGAGGACACUGAGUAUUUGGCCAAAGGUCACACCCAAGACCCAGAUAUGAUCGCGUGUGUUGACACAUAGCCUUCUGGAAUGCGACUACCGUUGUGCAUUUUAUUAGGAAAAAAAAAAGUUAACACCCUUAGGCUCAUGAUUUGGCAGUUUUCUUAGCCAUCCAGUUCAUCCAGCAAGACCCUCAG